CACUCUACCCUUUGAACCCUCUCUCGUAUAUGCACUCUACCCUUCCACCCCGAAGCUGAAAACAAAUUUAAAUAAAUUAGAAUUUACUGUUUGUUUGGAUUGCAUGCACUUUCCCUUUUCUGCUCGUGUUCUGCUUUUUAACUGCCCUUUUUUUUUUUAUGCUGAGAACUUUUCUUGCUGAAAUCACCAAUUUGUUUCUCCUAUAUCAUCACCCGGGGAAACUGUUUUGCAACAUCAUCAAAAUAGAGUCAGGGUCAACUACAGCUAAAAAAAAUUUCUCUUAUUACACCGCACUUAACAAGAGACGACGAGGGAGGGAAACGCCAAACGUCACAACAUAUGCACUGAUUCAAUUGAGUUGGCAAUUGCUAGAAAUGUGCUUGGUUGUACACCAGAAACAAGGAAAUUGGCCUCAUCUAAUUUUUCCCCCCCUUUCAAUUGUGCCUUCAUAAAUUUCAGGUUGCAGUUUUUAGGUGCUUGGAUUAGUGCUAGUUAGGGGAUUGAUUGUCCAUUUUUCUAGGCUACCAAUUUUCCUAUUGCUUUUUUGUAAGUACCUUAUGUAUGUGUGUCUUGUUCUGUUUAUAUGUGGCAUAAGAAUUAGAUAAACAGGUGCUAUAGACGUACGGCAUCUUUAGAUGAUAAAUAUACAGUAUAUCGUUUAAAAAAGAAGUUGAGAGGAGGUAAGGUUGUGCAAGCUUAGCGAUUCAUGACAUGGGUUGCCACUUUUGUCCCUUUCAUACUUCUAUUGGAAUUGUAUGCCAAUUGGGUUUAUUCUUCUACUUUGCACUCCAAUUGAGUUGAAAUUAUGUAUUCCAGAGAUGGUCACCGCUGGAAAAUUAUUUUUUAAUUAUGCUACGAAGGCGCAGACUUCUUUGUUCCAUCUGUCUUGUUAUUUAGCACCACCAAAAUUAUAGUUUGUGUUCGUCUAAACUUGAGCAUACCCGGGGUCUCGUUUACAUCAUAAACAAGGAAUAAAGGGUAAAAGGGGGAGAAGGAAAACUCUUGAGAACAAGCAAGUGCUAAAUAGGGUGGUAAGAAGUGAAAGAGAGAAAGGAAGCAAGAAGAAAGAAGAAAAGGCAAGGCACUGAUAGAGGAGAACAAAAAGGAAAGUCGCCUCUCACCGCAUCGCAUGACUUUCACAUCGCAUGAUAAAUUUUAGAUGAAUAUGCUGAUGAUUAAAAUGACUUUCUGUCAAACAUACCAGUGAAGAGGAAGAGCAAAUGUGUCCUUGAAAGCCCUUGCUAACACUAUCAUGAUAGUCUUCUGAAUGGGCAAAAAUUAUUGUUUUAAAGACAAAACCAUUAAAGUGCAUGGGAUGUAAUGUAAUUUAGCCUAUAUUAUUAUUUUAUUAAUAGGCAAGACUUGACUUAUUUAUUCGAAAAACCUGCAUCUCUAGGCUAGAUGGUGAGAAUUAUGUAGAAAGAAUGGCAUUAUUCUUCUGCUUGAUCUUUCCUACAAGUCAUCUAAAUGAAAAAUUAAAAAUAUCCGUAUUAGAGAAGGUACACCUCUGAUAACCUUUGCUUGUAGAAGUCUUAGAUGUUGGGAGCAAUUAGUAUCAGACUGUGUGAUUUAUUGAAAUGCGUUAAUAUUUUGGUUACCCCUAUGCUUUAGGACACAGAUGCACGAUAUUACCUUAAAGUUUUAUGUCAAGUUCGAUCAAGUUCUGUACCCGAAAUUCUCCCACAUGUUCAUUUUUGUCUCCCAAAUCUUAGUUUAUCAAGAUAUGCUCUAUUUAUAGUAUUUUACAUCUUACACCAGGUUGAAAGAUUAAGCUUUGAUAUGUAGCAAUGAACUCAAGGAAUUAAGCUCUGGGAUUCUGAAGUAGAUAGUGGUGAGACUCUGAGAUGAGAACAAGUAGUUUUGUCAAGCUGAAAGGUUGCAGAGCUUUUCCUGUAUGAAUGUGGAUCAGGAGACCACCUUUUGUAAUUAGUCAGUUCUAUAAAUGCAAACUGGAAAUUUACAGUUUUAGUAAAAUAGAGCGGUCCAGUAAAGUGCCAUGGUCCCUGUAAUAUUGGAGGUCGUAUUAUCUUUAAGAUGUUUCCCCCCUUUGAAAUGUAGUUUGUGUAAGUUAUUCUGAACUUGUCAGCUAUAAUCCAUGAUGUAGUCAAAACUUGUCUUGCUACUCUGUAUUUGAAGCAUCUUUUAUUUGAAGCA